rnacentral:rRNA from 1 species
UACGUAGGGACCGAGCGUUGUCCGGAAUCAUUGGGCGUAAAGAGCGUGUAGGCGGCCAACUAAGUCCUGCGUGAAAUCUCGGGGCUCAACCCCGAGCGGUCGUGGGAAACUGGUUGGCUAGAGUGCGGGAGAGGAGAGUGGAAUUCCUGGUGUAGCGGUGAAAUGCGCAGAUAUCAGGAAGAACACCCGUGGCGAAGGCGGCUCUCUGGAACGCAACUGACGCUGAGGCGCGAAAGCCAGGGGAGCGAACGGG